rnacentral:rRNA from 1 species
UACGUAGGGGGCAAGCGUUAUCCGGAUUUACUGGGUGUAAAGGGAGCGUAGGUGGCAGGGCAAGUCAGAUGUGAAAACCCGGGGCUCAACCCCGGGAGUGCAUUUGAAACUGUCCAGCUGGAGUGCAGGAGAGGUAAGCGGAAUUCCUAGUGUAGCGGUGAAAUGCAUAGAUAUUAGGAGGAACACCAGUGGCGAAGGCAGCAUACCGGCGCCCUACUGACGCUGAGCCACGAAAGCGUGGGUAUCGAACAGG